rnacentral:lncRNA from 1 species
GUAGUUUGACUGUACAUACACUUGGUCUGUAGCCAUUCGGAUCCUUGCGGUGCAUGUUGGUUGUAGUAAGUUCAUUGUAGGAAUAGGGUGUGUACUUAUAUAAAAUCUAUCUCCCUUGGUAGAUAGGGGCGUUAGUUCUAUAUGAUUUAUGAGAUCAAGUUUAGAUUUUUAAUAUUAAAAACUCGAGUUGAAUAAAUUUGAUAUAUGACAGACGAUGGGGUUUGACGAGCUAUUUUAUGACCUUCGUCUAGUCGGGACUCAUGAUAGAAGGACUGUAUCACAUGGUAACUGCACCAAGAGGUUCAGUAUUCUAUUCUACUGGAAUGCCACUACAUAUUGUUAGGUGUCACUGGUGGAUUGUGAAACUCAUGAGAAUUAUCUGAAUAAUCGAUAAUUCUCAUUGGGCAGAGUGAGAAUUGUUCCAACCCACUGAAAGGAGUUUCAGUAAUAUUGUUGAUAGUGAUCAGAAUAUACCUCUCUACUAGAUAGAAUAGAACAUAUUGAGUCACAUACAUAGGAGGUUGUGAUUGAUCAAAUAGUUGGAUCACGAUUUUUGAAUCACCGAAGGACCUAAUUAUCAAUAUAUUAAUAAUU